AGUGAACGCUGGCGGUAGGCCUAACACAUGCAAGUCGAACGGCAGCACAGAGGAGCUUGCUCCUUGGGUGGCGAGUGGCGGACGGGUGAGGAAUACAUCGGAAUCUACUCUGUCGUGGGGGAUAACGUAGGGAAACUUACGCUAAUACCGCAUACGACCUACGGGUGAAAGCAGGGGAUCUUCGGACCUUGCGCGAUUGAAUGAGCCGAUGUCGGAUUAGCUAGUUGGCGGGGUAAAGGCCCACCAAGGCGACGAUCCGUAGCUGGUCUGAGAGGAUGAUCAGCCACACUGGAACUGAGACACGGUCCAGACUCCUACGGGAGGCAGCAGUGGGGAAUAUUGGACAAUGGGCGCAAGCCUGAUCCAGCCAUACCGCGUGGGUGAAGAAGGCCUUCGGGUUGUAAAGCCCUUUUGUUGGGAAAGAAAUCCAGCCGGCUAAUACCUGGUUGGGAUGGCGGUACCCAAAGAAUAAGCACCGGCUAACUUCGUGCCAGCAGCCGCGGUAAUACGAAGGGUGCAAGCGUUACUCGGAAUUACUGGGCGUAAAGCGUGCGUAGGUGGUUAUUUAAGUCCGUUGUGAAAGCCCUGGGCUCAACCUGGGAACUGCAGUGGAUACUGGAUGACUAGAAUGUGGUAGAGGGUAGCGGAAUUCCUGGUGUAGCAGUGAAAUGCGUAGAGAUCAGGAGGAACAUCCAUGGCGAAGGCAGCUACCUGGACCAACAUUGACACUGAGGCACGAAAGCGUGGGGAGCAAACAGG
rnacentral:rRNA from 1 species